AUGCGGUGGCGAGGACGACAGGCAGCCCCCCCGGUGAGGUUUGACCAAAGGAUGGCUGUGUUUGCUGAAACAAAGUUGCAAAGAGAUGGCAUCGAGUUGAGUACAGGAUUCAGAGUGAUAAAGGAUCGGAGGACGAACCUGUCAUACUCGCAGCACGCGUCGCUGGUGUACAUGCCGGUGCCGACCAAGAAGAUUUCGUAUGCUCCAGGAGGAGCAGGUGGUGUACGAGGCAGCCAGUUGCAAUGGAGGAGGAUGAGAUCCACGGGGAGGGCUUCCUGGAGAUAUCACAACAUCUCCAAAUGUUACAACAAGGAGAAGAAAAGGCAAGAUGUUUAA
rnacentral:rRNA from 1 species